UUUCCGGUUGAUCCUGCCGGACCUCACUGCUAUCGAGAUGGGACUAAGCCAGGCCAGUCGAACGACCCGAACUAUGGCGGGGAGUGGCGUACUGCUCAGUAACACGUAGCUAACCUAACCUCAAGAUGGGAAUAACCCCGGGAAACUGGGGUCAAUGCAUAAUAGAUGUGGAAUCCUGGAAUGGUAUCACAUCCAAAUGUCAACACACCAUGUUGUGCGAACGCUUGAGGAUGGGGCUGCGGCCGAUCAGGCUGUUGGUGGGGUAAUGGCCCACCAAACCUUUGACCGGUAUGGGCCAUGAGAGUGGUAGCCCAGAGAUGGACACUGAGACAAGGGUCCAGGCCCUACGGGGCGCAGCCGGUACGAAACCUCCACAAUGCACGCAAGUGCGAUGGGGUUAUCUCGAGUGCUACCUGAAGAAGGUAGCUUUUCCAUGGUCUAAAUAGCCGUGGGAAUAAGGGGGGGGCAAGACUGGUGUCAGCCGCCGCGGUAACACCAGCCCCCCGAGUGGUGAGGAUGUUUAUUUGGCCUAAAGCGUCCGUAGCCGGCUUGGUAAAUUUCUCGUUAAAUCCAACGUCCAAAGCGUUGGGCUGCGAAAAAGACUGCUGAGCUAGAGGGUGGGAGAGGUCAGCGGUAUUCCUGGGGUAGGGGCGAAAUCCAUUGAACCCAGGAGGACCACCAGUGGCGAAGGCUGCUGACUAGAACACGCCUGACGGUGAGGGACGAAAGCUGGGGUAGCGAAUCGGAUUAGAUACCCGAGUAGUCCCAGCUGUAAACGAUGCAGACUAGGUGUUGGGUUGGCCAAGCGCCGACUCAGUGCCACAGGGAAGCCAUUAAGUCUGCCGCCUGGGAAGUACGGCCGCAAGGCUGAAACUUAAAGGAAUUGGCGGGGGAGCACCACCAGGCGUGAAGCCUGCGGUUUAAUUGGAUUCAACGCCGGG
rnacentral:rRNA from 1 species